AUGGGGCCAAGAAUGCGCCGGGGCGGGGGUGAGAGCGGCCAGGGAGCCAGCGUGGGGGCACCUCGGGCCGGCCACAAGCGGCCCAUUGUGGCGGCCGGAGGCGGGCACCGCUCGGGCUGCCCGGGAGGACGGCAGCCACUUGGCGCAGAGGGCAGCGGCUCGGGGGGCACCCUGGCAGCCCCCAGCCCGGCGGCAGGCAAGGCCUGGCCCCUGCGGCCAUGCUGGCCCUACUCAUCCCGGCCUGAUCCCUGCCCUCACGCCUCUGCUCGCAGCCCGCCAUGGAGGAGGACAUCGCCCCGGGCCCUCGCCCCGCCGGCCCCAGCCGCAUCCCGGGCCCCCCGCCGCGGCGGUACGGCCCCUGCGGGACCCCCACCCAGCGGAGCUGCCUCUGGGUCACCCUGCGGCAAGGGGGGACCCCCUGGCAGCGGCUGCGGGGCCCGGCCCCCGUCACCCCCGUCCCCCCGCGCCCCCGGCACGCUCCGGGGUCUGGCGGGGCCGAGGCCGCCCCAGCGGAGAAGAUGCCGGGCACCGGGGACCCACGCACCGGUGGGUCUGCGCUGCGGGGCGGGAUGGGGGCACCUGGGGGCUCGGUGUGGGGCAGGAUGGGGGGCACGGGGGUGUCCCCUCUUCCCUGAUGGUGCUGAGGAAGAGUGGAGGAGCUGGGGGAGAGUGGCAUCCGGAGGGGACAUGUGUCUGUCUGUCCAGCAAGGUCUCAGAGCUGGCAAUGUACCAGGGAAUGUUUGGUGCCCCAGCAUGGUGUGGCCAUGGCACCCGGUGGGGAUUGUUGGAGAAGGGAAGGGACAUCUCGCUCCGGGGGAGCCAGCCUGGGCAGGAGGGCAGCCAGGUGACCCUCAGGGCUCCCCAGACACCUUGCCCCGCUCCCUGCACAUGCGUGUGCACACACACACACACACACCGCGGUACACGCACAGGGCAUGGCUGUGCCUCUGCACCCAGGGCCGGCAGCCAGCAGUCACGGUGCCAGGGGAGGAGAGGUUUCUCACGCCUCCGCAAGCAGAGCUGAAGGGCAAAUCGGUCUCAACAAACCGUUCCCAAAUUCCCUCUCUCCUGGAGACCUCACCACCCUGCAACCCCCCAAAAUAUCCGUGGGGCUGA
rnacentral:lncRNA from 1 species